rnacentral:lncRNA from 1 species
CCACAACCUGAGGAUGAUCGGAUGAUGAGUGCGGUUUUGACUUGCAUUUCCCUGAUCCUGGAGUGGCUGCUCCCUGAAGAGAGUCCUGGUCCUAGGAAUCUGGGAUUCUACCUGAAGUCCCAAAGAUGAACAAAUGGUAGAGAGGCACCUGACUGAGCCUGCUUCCUAACCGACUUCUCAGAACUGCCUGCCGCUGGGCUGCCUAACAGAAGCUCAAGUUCUGGGAUUCCACCCUUGAAGAGAACUGAAUCUGCACUUAACUUAGUGCGCCCUGUAGGUCAGGACAUGUAGUUCUUGCUACCCUGAAGCUCACUAUGUACGACAGACUGGCCCCAACACACUGAGAUCUGCGUGGUUCUGUCUCCCCGGUGCUGAGAUCAAAGGCACGUGUAUAGUUAGGGCACAGGACUUUUACUUAUAUGUUAUGGCUCUAGGUUUGUUUUCAUGGGAUUCCUGAUUGUGCCAGCAAUUGGGUCUCUGUGUCUACAUCUGUUUCUUUUGCCUUUUCUUUGACUCCCUCUCUUUUGUUUGUUUCGUUUGCCCUAUUCUGAUGUGUUAGUUUUUGUUUUAUCUUAUUAUAUUUUAUUAUUAUUCAUCAAGUGCCCUUCUGUUUUCUGAAGAGAAACAGAAAGGUGGUGAAUUUGCAUGGGGUGGGAGGCAUAGGAGAACUGGGAGGAGUAAAGAGAGAAGAGAUCAUAAUCAGGAUAUAUUGUAUGAAAAAAAAAACCAGACUAUUUUCAAUAAAACUACAACAAAAAAUGAAGAACAAAAAUAAUCCCACAAGAAGGAAGAGUAACCUUGAACUUAUGGUUCUCUCUGCUUAAGCUUCAUGAGUGUUGGUAGUGUGGGAUUGCACCAUGAGGAAGAUACUGUGGUGGGAUAGAACAGAUUGUGACAGAAAACUAAAAAGUCUCAACCAGAAGAAUUAGAAAGAAAGCAAGAAAGCAAGGAAGGAAGGAAGGAAAGAAGGAAGGAAGGAAGGAUGGGAAAAAGAAAGAAAGAAAGAGAGAGAGAGAGAGAGA